rnacentral:rRNA from 1 species
GAUGAACGCUAGCGGGAGGCCUAACACAUGCAAGCCGAGCGGUAUUGUUUCUUCGGAAAUGAGAGAGCGGCGUACGGGUGCGUAACACGUGUGCAACCUGCCUUUAUCUGGGGGAUAGCCUUUCGAAAGGAAAAUUAAUACUCCAUAAUAUAUUGAACGGCAUCGUUUAAUAUUGAAAGCUCCGGCGGAUAGAGAUGGGCACGCGCAAGAUUAGCUAGUUGGUGAGGUAACGGCUCACCAAGGCGAUGAUCCUUAGGGGGCCUGAGAGGGUGAUCCCCCACACUGGUACUGAGACACGGACCAGACUCCUACGGGAGGCAGCAGUGAGGAAUAUUGGUCAAUGGGUGCAUGCCUGAACCAGCCAUCCCGCGUGAAGGACGACUGCCCUAUGGGUUGUAAACUUCUUUUGUAUAGGGAUAAACCUACCCUCGUGAGGGUAGCUGAAGGUACUAUACGAAUAAGCACCGGCUAACUCCGUGCCAGCCGCCGCAGUAA